UACGGAGGGUGCAAGCGUUGUCCGGAAUCACUGGGCGUAAAGGGCGCGUAGGCGGCUCGGUAAGUAGGGGGUGAAAUCCUGCGGCUUAACCGCAGGGCUGCCUUCUAAACUGUCGAGCUUGAGCACGGUAGAGGCAGAUGGAAUUCCCGGUGUAGCGGUGGAAUGCGUAGAGAUCGGGAAGAACAUCAGUGGCGAAGGCGGUCUGCUGGGCUGUUGCUGACGCUGAGGCGCGACAGCGUGGGGAGCAAACAGG
rnacentral:rRNA from 1 species